UGGGGAAUAUUGCACAAUGGGCGCAAGCCUGAUGCAGCCAUGCCGCGUGUAUGAAGAAGGCCUUCGGGUUGUAAAGUACUUUCAGUCGGGAGGAAGGUGGUAAGGUUAAUAACCUUAUCAAUUGACGUUACCGACAGAAGAAGCACCGGCUAACUCCGUGCCAGCAGCCGCGGUAAUACGGAGGGUGCAAGCGUUAAUCGGAAUUACUGGGCGUAAAGCGCACGCAGGCGGUUGAUUGAGUCAGAUGUGAAAUCCCCGGGCUUAACCCGGGAAUUGCAUCUGAUACUGGUCAGCUAGAGUCUUGUAGAGGGGGGUAGAAUUCCAUGUGUAGCGGUGAAAUGCGUAGAGAUGUGGAGGAAUACCGGUGGCGAAGGCGGCCCCCUGGACAAAGACUGACGCU
rnacentral:rRNA from 1 species